CUUGCUCCUGGAAGGUUUGCAGGUGUGACUGUGUGUCAUACCUGCAUCAGUAGCUUGUAGAGAGGAGAGAUGCAAA
ensembl:snoRNA Gm24843 predicted gene, 24843